GAUGAACGCUGGCGGCGUGCCUAAUACAUGCAAGUCGAGCGAACGGACGAGAAGCUUGCUUUUCUGAUGUUAGCGGCGGACGUGCGUGUAACACGUGGAUACCCUACCUAUAAGACUGGGAUAACUUCGGGAAACCGGAGCUCACACCGUAUCAUAUUUUGAACCGCAUGGUUCAAAAUUAAAAGACGGUCUUGCUGUCACUUAUAGAUGGAUCCGGGCUGCAUUAGCUAGUUGGUAAGGUAACGGCUUACCAAGGCAACGAUGCAUAGCCGAACUGAGCGGGUGAUGGGCGACACUGGAACUGGGACACGGUCCAGACUCCUACGGGAGGCAGCAGUAGGGAAUCUUCCGCAAUGGGCGAAAGCCUGACGGAGCAACGCCGCGUGAGUGAUGAAGGUCUUCGGAUCGUAAAACGCUGUUAGUAGGGAAGAACAUAUGUGUAAGUAACUGUGCACAUCUUGACGGUACCUGAUCAGAAAGCCACGGCUAACUACGUG
rnacentral:rRNA from 1 species